CAAGCCCUGGGCAGAUAGAUCCGGUGUUUCCCUGUUCUAUUCCGGUCACGGUAACGGCGUUGACGGUUUCCGUUUUCUCAGGUGGUGUCAUUGAUAGCAUCGAAUCCACUCUCUGCAUCAAAUCUUCACCGAAAACUAUAGAUUUAUGGUUUUCAAAAAAUUUCUUCCAGAAGUAUUUGCAGUUAUGAUAGACGCCAAAGCAUUGGCGAAACCAAAGAGAGCUCAUUCUCAACACCAUAGGGAAAAACCUCAUUCGAUUAAAAAAUCAAACCCUCCAUCAUCAACCGGUGUUAACGAACCUGUAAAUUCGAAGAAGCAGACAUUCAAACAAAUCAGAGAGAAAACUUAGCAGGCGCAGUGUAUAUCUGCAUUACCAUCGAAUCGGAAUCGUAAUGAGGAAGAAUUUAAUUCAGGUUCUGAAGAUCUAAGUCAAGAUCCCGAUAUUAUUGUGCCCAAGAGUAAAGGAGCGGACUUCCGUCACCUGAUCGCUGAGGCUCAAUCUCAAUCCCACUCAAAUACUCAUUAGGAUACCCUGUCUUCUUUAGAUGAAAUUCUCCCCGGAGAUUUCGAUCAAUUUGUAGGUUCUAUGCUUGUAAUCAGGGGAGAGGGUAUUUUAUCAUGGACUGGUAGUGGAUGACAGUGCAAGUGCAAAUCCUGAGCGUUCUGAGAGUUCAAAGCUAAACAACGAUCAGGAAUCUCAGCAAAUGCAAAAAGGGGCAGCAAAAAUUACUGAAGAAAUAAUUCUGAACGAUUUACCUGAGAAGGUCAACUUUGCUGCUAAAAUUGUCGAGGAUAAGUCAUUUGGCCCUGGCAGCCAGCCCAUAGAUGCAAUAUUGUCUAACAGAGGAUUGGGUUCGAUGCCUGAAGUUCAAGGUGAUUCUAUUUCCGGUCAUUAUGGUGAGUUCAGUGAGAGUAGAGGUCUGGACAGCCGUAAUCCUACAUCUGUCUCCAACAAAAAGUGCCAACAUUCGAAGCGGCCGCUGUAGAGGCCGAAUUGGAUAUGCUUCUUGAUUCUUUCAUUGAUACUAAAAUUCUCGAUACUUGUGGGUCAAAGCUCCACCCAUUACACCCAGUUUUGAUGAUUCACUUGAUGAUUUGUUACAAGCUACUUCAACAGUAAACCGAGGUAUCGUUUCAUCAAAAGCUGCAGCAGUUAAUUCAGCUUCUGAAGAUUUACUUCUUGAUUUAUUACAACAAACAUCCAAAAUGGUAAGCCCGAAUGGAUUGUCUGAGCAAAAGGUUCCAAAAGCUGCUUGGGAGAACAAUAUUCAGUUUUCAUCCUCACAACAGGUCACAAAGUCAAAAGUCUUGGAUGAUUUCGAUUCAUGGUUGGAUACUAUUUGAUGGUUUGUAAUAAAAGGAAGUUCCAAAUGGAUUUACUUCUUGAAGAUUUACUUCUUGAUUUAUUACAACAAACAUCCAAAAUGGUAAGCCCGAAUGGAUUGUCUGAGCAAAAGGUUCCAAAAGCUGCUUGGGAGAACAAUAUUCAGUCUUCAUCCUCACAACAGGUCACAAAGUCAAAAGUCUUGGAUGAUUUCGAUUCAUGGUUGGAUACUAUUUGAUGGUUUGUAAUACAAGGAAGUUCCACUCAUUGAAUCAAAUUCGGCUUAUCAUUUUGGUAGGGUAAUAUAGAAAGUUAUUUUUGUAACCUGGUGAUGGAAAAUAUUCCUUUGGACAUCCAUAUAUUCCUUUGGACAUUGCGCUCAUGUUGCAAUCAGAUGACACAUAUCUUGUCAAAAUCCAAUUAUUUCGUGACAUAAUUCAAAUUCUGGGUGAAAAUACGACUAAGGAAGCAAUGAACUUUGUAACAGGACCUACUUGAACUCCUUCCGAUAUAUUCUCAGCUUCAAGGGAAUAGUAAUCUUCCAUUUGGUUUUGUGAACUUGGAAACUUAACAACAUCAACCAGAGAUCAGUUUAUAUCAGCAGCAGCCGAUGGUAGACCCCGACAACCAUCAAAUUGGAUAUUCAUCGUGAUCUGCAUCUGCCAGCAGCCUCGCCUGAAAGUCAAAGCUUCAUCUAGUUCAACCAGCUUUGAAGCUUAGGGACAUCUUAUGGUUAAU